rnacentral:rRNA from 1 species
UUAAAGGCUGUGGCUUAACCAUAGUACGCUUUGGAAACUGUUUAACUUGAGUGCAGAAGGGGAGAGUGGAAUUCCAUGUGUAGCGGUGAAAUGCGUAGAUAUAUGGAGGAACACCGGUGGCGAAAGCGGCUCUCUGGUCUGUAACUGACGCUGAGGCUCGAAAGCGUGGGGAGCAAACAGGAUUAGAUACCCUGGUAGUCCACGCCGUAAACGAUGAGUGCUAAGUGUUAGGGGGUUUCCGCCCCUUAGUGCUGCAGCUAACGCAUUAAGCACUCCGCCUGGGGAGUACGACCGCAAGGUGAAACUCAAAGGAAUGACGGC